AAUAAAAGCGUGGUGGCAGGGUGGAUGAGUGUAGCUGCGCUUCAGACUGUCCGCCGCCGUUGCUGCUUCUGCUGCUGCUGCUCAUAGAGGAUCAUACAUUUGGGGAAAAAACGAUAGACAGGACCAGUCUCUCCAACUUGCUACCCGAGUCUUUGACAUUCUCCCACGUAAAAAGGUCUGUGGGGCAGAUGGAAAGAGUGGAAGAAGGGGUGGAAUAUUGAGAAGGACCAGAAUACCUGAAGAGUAUAUCAUUCUAAAGAAACCAACCAGGUUUUGCCACUACUCUCAGCAUUUUAUGGGGGUCCUCUCACUGCCUGAAUCAUCCAGAAGAAUAAUGGACAAAAUAAGAUCUGAGCCAAUGGAGUCUCCUGAAGGAUACUGUUCUCUAAUACUGGAAUGAAGUGACAAGAGAUGGCAGCUGGACCAUACACACAACCCUAGGAUCCUGGAUCUGGAGAGAACCUUUUGAUCUGAGGACCCGAGUAUCAGAAUGAUCCACUUUUCUUUGAAAUCCAUUACUAAUGAGUUCGAAAAUAGAGAACAAAGAUAUUGAGAAAGAUAACCAAGCAUUUUAGUGAGAAUCAGUUCCAAUAGUUUGGAGAUGGGUAUCUCUUGGGUAUCUCACUAUGGGUUUCUGUAAGAUUUGAACCUUGUCAUACCAGGUAAAACCCACAUUGUCCUUGACAAUUAUACAAAUGCCAUUUCAAUGGUUUUCGGUCCCAUGAUCUUCUCAAAGGACCCCUAUCCAUUAAAUGAUUUCCCAAAUUAAUGUAUUAUUCAUGUAUUGGAAUCAAGUAAAUUACCACGUAUGGAUUGAAAGUGUCAAUUUUAAUUCUCAGGGAGUUAAAAAAAAAAUCAAUGUCAGGCCCACUCCCUUCACCACAAUACUUGUGGUAAAGAUUGAAAGAUUGAAGCUGCCUUAGAACAUAUGGGAACGUUUGUCUUGGAAAUCUUGAAUGCAGUUUUCACUUGCACAGUAACAAAACAGAUCUCUGUUACCCGAAUGAAUUUGAUACCAGUGUAGACGGACAGGUGAGAUAAGUCAGGGAAAAACCCGAUGGAGAAGAUUACAUGGGAAAGAUAAGGCCGGUUCAAAAUGAUUUGCCAAGUUUCUUCUGCACAGAGAAAAAGCCUUCUGUAGCCUGUCCAAAGUCAUGAUGUGCCAUGGCAUGCCCUGCGUCCUGAGUUGGAACUAUUUAAGACAAUAGAACUAUUUAAGACAAUAGAAUACUUAAGAAUCUUGUGGAUUAAUCAAGUGUCCUAGAACAGAGAUUUUGGUUGGCCUCUGGCUUUCAUUUCUUCAACAUUGCCGGUUUGAGGACUCUUUUCACCUCUUUGGAAAUCCACGUCACAUGUAGAGCCAAGCAGGAUUUUCCAAAAUGGCUCCCGCUUGGAGACUAGGAGCAUGUAGCCUGUUGGCGGCCCUUUGGCUUUUGCAUUGCUGUAGUUGUGGAUGGUCGGAGAGGACUAGUGGCAUGGCCAAGGGAGAAACUAAGGAGCAGGAGCUCAUGUCCCAUGAACGAGUGAAGAGGGGAUGGGUGUGGAACCAGUUCUUUGUGGUGGAGGAGUACACAGGCACAGAACCUCUCUACGUUGGAAAGGUAAGACUUUGAGAGUUUUUUGUGUGUUUAGGGGAAGAACACUAACAUUACAGUUUAAGUUUUUUGCUCUAGACGUGAUUCAUGUCUUACGUGUGAGUUGAUUGUGAUUUGAUUUGUAUGACAAGUUAGUAUUGGAAAGGAUAAGACGUGCUGUGCUAUCAAAUCAGAUGGAAUUUUUAUGCCAACUGCAAAAGAAAUAGGGAUGGUUCUUGUAUACAUUUUACUGCAUACUCAUGUCUGUCUGAAUUCAGUCAUUUGCAAUUGAAUUUCA